UGUGUCUUGCAGCUUGCAAUGGAACUGAGG
rnacentral:piRNA from 1 species